GGAAGGUUGACAGGUGAAAAGACAGACCUUUUCCUUCGUAGAUGGGAGACCAACAUCAUGCCAAAACUUAGAGUUGUGGCUGCCAUGGAACCUGGACUCAGCACUCUUUUGAGAGGAUUUGAAAACAUGACUGAAGAGGAGGCUUGUUACAGAACACUCGUGGUACUAACACACCUUCUGCCCCAUGUUAGUGGAAGACAAUGUAGCGUCAAGGAUACAAUAACACACCUUCUAGAUUUUGUGCCGACUGGAACAAGAAUAGCAUCCCUCUGCAAUGAUUCUGCUACUUCAUCAACAAACCAUCAGCCCCAGCUCAUCUGCAUCGGUAAUCUGCGGUCGUCAAAGCAGUAUGUCAUCGUUGCAAAAAAUGACAAAGUCACCAUCCCCCUGGACGAUGGACUCACAUGUGCUGUGGACAAGCUUUUUAAGCUGUACUGGGUGUUUAACUUGUGUUAUCCAUCCCAACUCGGACCUGUCUUUACAUUUUUUGAGUACAUCUACGAUCUUCCAUUCUCCACACAAAGAAAAACAAGGGUGAUUGAAUUGAUUGCACAACUUAAAGCUUGUAAAUGAAAUGUAUUGUUGUCCAAAAUGUAGACAAACUGGUUUCAAAGAGGUGAAAAAUCUCCUAUGGCACCUCCGUGAAAUACACUGCUUAUCAGAUGGACAGAAUAUAAAAAUUAGAUGUGCUCAGGAAAAUUGUCCAAGAACAUAUUAUAACUUGAAUUCAUUUACUAGGCAUCUACACAGAGUACAUUUUAAGAUGGGUACAAAAGAUAUGCCUGUUGUGCAAUCCUUGUUCCCAAGCGAGGGUUCAAACAGUGGAGAACAAACUCAUACUGAUAAUUUGGAUACACCCAAUAUUAUGGUUGCAGCUCCACAAUCAGAAAAUUACAUUGAGCUCAGUAAUUGUGCAGCAUCUUUUGUUUCCCAGAUGUAUUCAUCUUCAAAUGUAACUUUUUCUGAUGUCAUGAAAAAUGUGAACUGUGCAAAGGAGCUAAUUACUAGAACUGUAGACAGGUUGCAGCAAUCAACUACAACUUUGUUGAAUAGUGUUAAGAAAAAUGAUUAUUUUUUGGUGUUUAAUACAGCUAAUAUACGACAUGUGUAAAGGUAUAGCCAACACUUUUAUUUGGAACAGUUUUCUGUGGAGCAUGUGGGAGCUGACAAUAGCAGACAUUUAAACAAGCAGGGCCCUUUUUCCUCCCCCGCUGGCAGACAGAGCAAUAAAAUUUACAUUCCAAUGGGAGAGGGGACUUCGGAGGUGUCUGUGAAAUCUCAUCUUAGGACGUUUGGCGCCAGGGAUCUUCCGUAUCAGGCAGCGAUGAGCACCUAAGUGGUCCGCCCUUUUGCUUGGACAAAAAACAGACACCUUUGCCAUAAUGAGGGGAGUUUCCAAGUUCUCUGAGUGCUGAGGGAGUUUCUAAUAGGUCAGCAUGAGGAACGCCUUGACUGCAUAUAUUAAAUAGGGAAACACCUCUUUAGUUUAAAACUCCGUGUUAGGAAAAAAUCCAGAGAGAGAGCGGCCGCUAUUUUUGCUUUUUUUGUCUGUGUUCUAUGUUCGUUUGUCUCCCCUUGUGUGUCUUUAUUCUUAUGAGAAAAUGCAUAUCUCUGUUCCUCUGCAGCUUUGUUGUGAUUGCUUUGUAUGGAAUUAAACUCUGCGAUCUGUGACGUCAA